GAUGGCGGUGGGCUCUCCGCUUCUUCAUCUGCCUCCUUUGUAUAUCCUCAUCCGACGAAGUUGAAGAUGAUGAUGAAGUUGAAUUCGACAGGAAACUUGUUUUUGUAGUAGUAGUAUUACCUUGAGGCCGAUGCAUCUGGUUCAAGUUAUUAUUACCUAUCGGCACUUGUGACAGUGGCAGCGCAGGUGCAGUCAUAACAGCAGGCUGCGCUGCUCCUGUCACAACACUUUUCUGCGAAACACUAAAAAAAUGAUUAUGAUUUUGUGGAGUUGGCGUUGGCGUCGGCAUUGGAGGAUUUGCUGAAUUGUUUCCUGAUCGCAUUGGCAUUGCCAUUGUUAUGGGUGUUGCUGCUAAUGGAGGUGGCGGUAUGUUAGAAUGAGAAGAUGGAUUGUUUUCCAAAGCCUGUAACUGAUCAAAGAAUCGAUAAGUUUUUCCAUCUGCUUUCGA
rnacentral:misc_RNA from 1 species